GGAGUUAGCCGGUGCUUCUUCUGUGAGUGAUGUCCUUCCUGCCGGCUAUUAACCCGCAGGCCUUCUUCCUCACUGAAAGUGCUUUACAACCCGAAGGCCUUCUUCACACACGCGGCAUGGCUGGAUCAGGGUUGCCCCCAUUGUCCAAUAUUCCCCACUGCUGCCUCUCGUAGGAGUCUGGGCCGUGUCUCAGUCCCAGUGUGGCUGAUCAUCCUCUCAGACCAGCUACGGAUCGUCGCCUUGGUGAGCCGUUACCUCACCAACCAGCUAAUCCGACAUAGGCUCAUCCGAUAGCGCGAGGCCCGAAGGUCCCCCGCUUUCCCCCGUAGGGCGUAUGCGGUAUUAGCCUGGGUUUCCCCAGGGUUAUCCCCCACUACCGGGCAGAUUCCUAUGCAUUACUCACCCGUCCGCCGCUCGCCACCAGGGAGCAAGCUCCCCGUGCUGCCGCUCGACUUGCAUGUGUUAGGCCUGCCGCCAGCGUUCAAUCUGAGCCAGGAUCAAACUCUGA
rnacentral:rRNA from 1 species